AACGAACGCUGGCGGCAUGCCUAACACAUGCAAGUCGAACGAGACCUUCGGGUCUAGUGGCGCACGGGUGCGUAACGCGUGGGAACCUGCCCUUAGGUUCGGAAUAACUCCCCGAAAGGGGUGCUAAUAUCGGAUCAUGUCUUCGGACCAAAGAUUUAUCGCCUUUGGAUGGGCCCGCGUUGGAUUAGCUAGUUGGUAGGGUAAAAGCCUACCAAGGCGACGAUCCAUAGCUGGUCUGAGAGGAUGAUCAGCCACACUGGGACUGAGACACGGCCCAGACUCCUACGGGAGGCAGCAGUGGGGGAUAUAGGACAAUGGGCGAAAGCAUGAUCCAGCAAUGCCGGGUGAGUGAUGAAGGCCGUAGGGUUGUAAAGCUCUUUUACCCGGGAUGAUAAUGACAGUACCGGGAGAAUAAGCUCCGGCUAACUCCGUG
rnacentral:rRNA from 1 species